ensembl:snRNA Rnu6-604 RNA, U6 small nuclear 604
GUGCUCAAUUUGGCAACACGUAUACUAAAAUUAGAAUAAUACAGAGAAGAUUAGCAUGGCCCCUGUGCAAGGGUGACACAAACAUUUUUGAAGUAUUUUAUUUGUAC